rnacentral:lncRNA from 1 species
CUGCAUCUGCCAACAAGACUGGAAGCAGAGAGGGACAGAGACGGAGAAGUUUGACGGUCUGGAAAGCAGAGACCAGCAGGGCUGACUGCUUGGGAGCACCAAGUAUCCGGACAGCGCCUCUCGGGAGGUCCGAGAAGAGAACCGCGGUCUGUUUCAGCACCGGGGCUCAGGACAGUUCCCAGAGGGCUCCGUUUCGGCUCCAGAACCCUGGACAGCUCCCCCAGCUUGGAAUGCACUCCCUCCACCUCCACCCAGAGCUCCCCACAACUGACCCUGCUUUCUUCUGCAAGCUCCAUUUCAUCAAGGGAAACGAUCCUUAUUGCCUCACCAUUUCCCACAUGAAGUCUGUAUUGACAUUCUCAUAGACCUGGGAUAUUGUGUCUGCAGCACAUAGUCCAAUUAUUUUCAUGUUAUCUACUGACAGCUCUAUUUGUCUCCCUGUUACACUGUGAGCUCCGUGAGGGCAGAAACAAUGUUUGUAUUUUCACUGCUGUGUCCCCAGUGCCUGGUCCGGGGCCCGGCACACAGCAGGCAUAUAAUAAGCAUGUGUUGAAUCAAUA